rnacentral:tRNA from 1 species
GCAUUGGUGGUUCAAUGGCAGAAUUCUGGUCUUCCAUGUGGGAGACCCAGGUUCGAUUCCUCGUCAAUGCG